GCGGCUGGUCGGUGCAAUGCUGGGCGGCGCGGGAGGUGGCAGCGUGGUCUGGGCAGUGGAGUUUGAGAAAUUUUUUAGGUGCAGACUUUGAGAUCCAAAAUUGAGACCCACAUUUGCUGAGAUCAUGGCUGCUCUGAAGCUGUUGCAGAAGCCCAUAACCAGUUCUCAAAUUCCCAGACCAAGUACCUCCAUAGGCGCUGGAAGUGAGAAAGCACAGCCGUCACGAGUUGCAGACGAAUAAGCAGGCUAGAGGAGCAAGUCAACAACCUGACUCACUGCUCGUUGGACUGCAAAAAUAUUGCUGAGAAGUUCUAGAUUGCCUGGGACAAGUAUGAGAGUGCUUUCGGUUGAGAUGAUGACCCAACAUACACUCUGAUUUGAAUUGUGAUUCUUUUUCCUUGGAUCACCUUUUUUUUUCUUUUUUUUUUUUUUUUUUUUUUUUCUUUUUGGUAUUCUUCUCAGUACAGCUAUUCGCGAAGUCAUGUAUUUGUUUGUAAAAAUCCAUUGAAAUUCUUGUAGAAAAGUCAAUGUUUGAAAUUGUCGUUGUCCAUAGUGUAGUAUCAAGUAGUUUCAAAAGCACUAUGCUGCCUGGAAUUAGAGAGUGGAGUGGGAAGUUGAAGCUGUAGAUAUAUGCGGGAAGAAUUGUGCCAACUGCCAGAAAUUGGGAGUUACAGAAUCUGAAACACUGAUAGCAGCUACAGAGCCAUCUUUACUUUUUAUCGGACUAGACGGAACCUUGCAGAUUGUGCAGUUAUGGUUGAGAAAGUCUACAAGAGUUAUCUCAAUUUCUUUCAUUUUUAGGUGUUUUCAACCUUUGUUUCUGAAUUCAAUUCAAAUUGCCACAGGUGGAAGGCCUUAGACUUUGCUUCUCUUAAACGUAGCCGUUAUCUUUCUUCAACAUUGAGAAACCAGAAACUUUUGUGUCACAGUGGGCACGGGCUGGACAAGACUUGCCAAGGUUUAUCUAAGGAUGAGAAGGCUCAGAAAUUAGCCCUGCAACACUGGCUUGAAGUUGACGCCUCCUGAAAACAUUUGCAGAUCCCUGGAUGCCAUUAUAAAUCGAACAGUUGACAAAACAUUAGCCAAUCAAGGGACAAACUCUGCUGAAUCAUCGACGCUGUUGAUUUGCAACUAAUUGUCUGUAUUGCACGCAAUAAUACGGGUAGUUUAUGUGAGAGAGCAUGUGAGUUUUACCUAAGUGCUUAGGCUGCUCGAAGUGCAAGAUCCGCCUGUCCAGGUAAGUAUGAGGAUUACCUGUCCUUUUACAUUAACAGGCAGUUACCCGAUUCUAGUCUCUAAGCUUCAACAUUAGUAGCUAGCGAAUGGAGGGAUUGUUGUCUUAGUCCGACAAGCCUAAUUGCCUAGCAUUUAACUUUAUAGAAGAAGGCUAGCUAGGCAAUGGAAAUCACAAUGGCCAUUUUAUUUUCUGUUGUAAUACAAACAUGAUAAGAUUCCCCAAUCACAAAAGGAGGGACCAUAUUGGGUUGUCAUAAUUGAACAUGAUUAAGACCCUUAGUGGAGAGAGAGAGUGUGUUUGUUUCUUUCACAUGUAUAAUUUUAGGUUUGAAAGGUUGUCUUUGAAAUGGUUAAACAAUUCAUAGAAAACUUUCAUUUGGGACCCGAAAUGUAUUCAGGAAUCAUGUUUAAGCAGGAAGGCCGUCAGAUUUCUUGUGAAGGAAAAUAAUUAGGAAAUGAUACCAAUCACAUCUAAAAAAACGUGUGGAGUAUUAUAGAAUUAUAGCUAGUUUAUCCUUUCUUUUUCUUCUUCUGUUGAGGGGAUGCUCUUUGAAAAUAAUGAAAGUAAAUAUUUAAAAUAGAUAACCAUACGUAAGCGUUUUGAAAAGGUUAAUAAUUAAAAUAGAAAAAUGUGAUUCUUUAGUUAAAAUUUGUUGAGCGGCUUACAUU